UCAAUGUCUCCAUAUCCGUACCGUGCUGC
rnacentral:sRNA from 1 species